GGUGACGUACCCAAAUGGCUAAGGGAACAGUUUGCAAAACUGUGCUGUACCGGUUCGAGUCCGGUCGUCACCUCCA
rnacentral:tRNA from 1 species